rnacentral:rRNA from 1 species
AUUGAACGCUGGCGGCGGGCCUAACACAUGCAAGUCGAACGGUCACAGGAAGAAGCUUCCUUCUUUGCUGACGAGUGGCGCGCGGGUGUGUCAUGUCUGUGACAUUGCUAGAUGGAUGGGGAUAACUACUGGAAACGGUACUUAUUACCGAAUAUCGUUGCAAGCCCAAGGUGCGGGACUUUAGGGCCUUUUGCCAUUGGAUUUGCCCUGAUGGGAUUAGCUAGUAGGUGGGGUAACGGCUCACCUAGGCAACGAUCCAUAGCUGGUCUGAGAGGGUGAUCGGCCACACUGGAACUGAGACACGGUCCAGACUCCUACGGGAGGCAGCAGUAGGGAAUAUUGCGCAAUGGGCGCAAGCCUGAUGGAGCAAUGCCGCGUGAAUGAUGAAGGUCUUCGGAUUGUAAAAUUCUGUCAUCAGGGAGGAAGGAAGUUGUGAGAAUACCUGCGCGUAUUGACGGUACCCACAGAAAAAGCACCGGCUAACUCCGUG